ACCCCUCAUUGUUUUACUUGCAUCUCUUUGAUAGCUGAUGAAGCUGAGAAGAACUGAAGUCUUUUGGGGGACUCUA
rnacentral:miRNA from 1 species